CUGGCCCCAAACUUACAGCUAUUUCUGAGUCUGGAUCCGCUAGAGCAGGAGGAGAGCGGUUGGUCUCUUUCUGAAGGUGUGAGCUCUGAUUCCUUGAGAAGAUGGCGGCAGUAGCAAGUCCCACACUCAUGCUCAAUUUGGGAAAAGGUGGUGUGGCAUUAUUGGCAACAGGGCACUGUGCAAUUAUACUAGCCAUAAGCCUAUCAAUAGGAAUUGGCACCUAUUUCUUCAUUAAGGCCAGCAAAAACAAGACCCAGAAAAUGUGUUGACAGGAAUCCUUUCCAAUCCCCUGGCCCGAAGGAGAAGGCUCCACCUUCCUGGGGAAUGUGUGAAGCAACAUGCUAUACACAGUUUCUAUUUUGAGUCUCAACAAAGUCAACUUUUGAGCAAAAUAAAAAUGAAUUAAAUACACA